rnacentral:rRNA from 1 species
AUGGACCCUUCUCGCCCAUGGCAUCACCCGCAGCUCCCCUCCGACGGCGUGACUAGUCAUUUCUUCCGCGCCUCUACAUCUUGGCGCCUUGGCGAUGGGAGAACUUGUCGUUUCUGGAGUGAUCACUGGCUUGAUGGGCAGGCCAUCUCCGACACUGCCCCUGCCCUUCUAUCUCUCGUACCACGUCGACGGCGACGCUGCAUGCUGGUUUGCGAGGGCCUCAUGCAGUGAGCCUGGAUCAGCAAUAUCCAUGGCGCCUUAGGGCCACUGGAGGUCAUCAAGUAUGUCAACCUAUGGCGCAAACUACAAGGAAUAACCCUCACCUCCGAGCCCGAUCGCAUCACCUGGAGGUGGACGACAGGCUCUGUUCCACGGAUCUACCUCGCCGCCAUGCUGGAAAUUUCUAUGGAAGAGUUGGGCCCUUCUCAACAACAAGGUGUUUCUCUGGCUUGCAACCAUCGACCGAUGCUAGACGGCGGAGCACCGCGCGUGCCAUGGCCUCUCCCAAGAUCCUACCUGCAUCCUGUGCUCCCAGGAGACAGAGUCUAUCGACCAUCUUCUCUCGAGUGUGUUAUCCCGGAUCACCUGGCACGAAAUACUCUCAUGGUGUCGUGGCCCGUCCCCGUUGGAGGUUAA